rnacentral:rRNA from 1 species
AUGGAUAACUUACCAGAAGGGUCAAAGAAAGUUGUCAUGCCACUGAGGUUUUCUAUCAAUUUACAGCAGGGUAUCUACAAUACGAAUGAGAUAAACAAGAAGUUUGAACACAAGAACCGUCUCGACAAGAAAGAUUUGGUCAUGCUGUCAGUGCUUGAGUGCGAUAAUGUAAACGGCCGCGAAGGAGGCAGGCAUUAUUGGGUCUUCAACAUCAACCUGAGGGACGGACGUUUCGAAGUCCUUGAUUCAAACAGAAAGCUAGAAGACAUUGAGUUGAUGGACACCGCCUCUACGAUUGCGGGGGUAGUACACCAGCUAUGGAGGAAGCAUUACCCAAAGCAGAGCAUCGAGCACUUCCAGCUUAUUAACAUCGACGUACCGAAGCAGAUUAAUUAG